rnacentral:rRNA from 1 species
GACAGAGGAUGCAAGCGUUAUCCGGAAUGAUUGGGCGUAAAGCGUCUGUAGGUGGCUUUUCAAGUCCGCCGUCAAAUCCCAGGGCUCAACCCUGGACAGGCGGUGGAAACUGCCAAGCUGGAGUACGGUAGGGGCAGAGGGAAUUUCCGGUGGAGCGGUGAAAUGCGUAGAGAUCGGAAGGAACAUCAGUGGCGAAAGCGGCUUCCUGGACCAGUACCGACGUUCAGGCACGAAAGCGUGGGGAGCAAACAGG